rnacentral:rRNA from 1 species
UACGGGGGGAGCAAGCGUUGUUCGGAUUUACUGGGCGUAAAGGGCGCGUAGGCGGUCAGCACAAGUCAGUUGUGAAAUCUCCGGGCUUAACUCGGAAAGGUCAACUGAUACUGUGCGACUAGAGUGCAGAAGGGGCAACUGGAAUUCCCGGUGUAGUGGUGAAAUGCGUAGAUAUCGGGAGGAACGACCAGUCGGCGGAAGGCGGAGCUUCCGUCGGUCC